rnacentral:rRNA from 1 species
AUUGAACGCUGGCGGCAGGCCUAACACAUGCAAGUCGAACGGUAACAGGGAGCAGCUUGCUGCUCUGCUGACGAGUGGCGGACGGGUGAGUAAUGUCUGGGAAACUGCCUGAUGGAGGGGGAUAACUACUGGAAACGGUAGCUAAUACCGCAUAACGUUUACGGACCAAAGUGGGGGACCUUCGGGCCUCAUGCCAUCAGAUGUGCCCAGAUGGGAUUAGCUAGUAGGUGGGGUAACGGCUCACCUAGGCGACGAUCCCUAGCUGGUCUGAGAGGAUGACCAGCCACACUGGAAYUGAGACACGGUCCAGACUCCUACGGGAGGCAGCAGUGGGGAAUAUUGCACAAUGGGCGCAAGCCUGAUGCAGCCAUGCCGCGUGUAUGAAGAAGGCCUUCGGGUUGUAAAGUACUUUCAGCGGGGAGGAAGGUGUUGUGGUUAAUAACCACAGCAAUUGACGUUACCCGCAGAAGAAGCACCGGCUAACUCCGUGCCAGCAGCCGCGGUAAUACGGAGGGUGCAAGCGUUAAUCGGAAUUACUGGGCGUAAAGCGCACGCAGGCGGUCUGUUAAGUCAGAUGUGAAAUCCCCGGGCUCAACCUGGGAACUGCAUUUGAAACUGG